ACUGUGAGGAGCAACUGCGUUGCACACCCUGUUCCGGGGUGGAUGGGGACUUGUCCGAGGAGUGAUCUGAGCCCUUCUCCACCAUGGUGUCUCCGUCCUGGUUCUGUGGUGUUGGUUAAGGCAACUGAGCUCAAGAACCAAAGAACAGCACAGCAGAAAUUAGAUGGCCUUUCUGACUCAGUCCCUCCCCUGUGUAUGAUCUCAUGGUGAACCCCUCCACGCUGAACUUCACAUUUAAUUGUUAGAGGAAAAUGAGCAUAUUCUCUUCACCCCCCCCCCACCAGGAUAUGAGAAGGAGGGUGGGAAAGAACACAUGGUGAAGCACUGAAAGACUGAUCAUCCCUGGGACAGAAGGGCUCAGAUCUGCACUAGGGGAAGCGUUCAGACACAAGACACAGGCAGUCUGAGCCCACAACCAGCUCAGCAUCGCUGCUUUCUCUGUGGUCAGGACUACACCCACACAGGCAGCAGAGACUGCCAUAGGACUAUGUGAGAUGGAAGAUCCUCUAUGGGCAGGGUGGAUGCGCACAGAAGAACAGCAGCCCGGCCAUUUCUCUCACAGUUCUGACCUCGUUGCUCUUAAGGACAAGGUCAGGUCCUGGGCUGGCUGCAACUUCUCCAUUCCUCACCUCCUUUACCGAAAGUGAAACGUAUUUCCUCAAACCUCUUCUCAGAUAUUAAAGCGCACCUUCUCUCUCUCCAACAACUAAGUGUCCAUACAAAUUUCACUUAGGUGUUGUCUUGUAUUUGCAGGGCUGGGGAUCAAACUCAGGAUCCAGCCAGUUGGAAGCAGGCACUUUCCCACAGCUGCUGCUCCAAGCGCCAGUCUCUAGUCAGGUGGCACUCUGACACAUCGAGGGACAGACUGGAUGCCAUUAUUUGGCAUGCAAAUCAUUGAUCUUUUGAAUAACUCAAAUAAAGCUCAAACUAC
ensembl:processed_transcript 1700110K17Rik RIKEN cDNA 1700110K17 gene